AGCGAACGCUGGCGGCAUGCUUAACACAUGCAAGUCGCACGGUUGGGGGCAACCCUGGCAGUGGCGGACGGGUGAGUAACGCGUAGGGAUCUAUCCAGGGGUGGGGGACAACCGCGGGAAACUGCGGCUAAUACCGCAUGACGACGUCAUCCGGGAGGGUGAUGUCCAAAGCCUGCAAGGGCGCCUUUGGCGGAGCCUGCGUCCGAUUAGCUAGUUGGUGGGGUAAAGGCCUACCAAGGCGACGAUCGGUAGCUGGUCUGAGAGGAUGAUCAGCCAC
rnacentral:rRNA from 1 species